UACGGGGGGGGCAAGCGUUGUUCGGAAUUACUGGGCGUAAAGCGCGUGUAGGCGGCUUUUCAAGUCAGACGUGAAAUCCUUAGGCUUAACCUGAGACUGUCGUUUGAUACUGUUGGGCUAGAGUGUGGAAGGGGCUACUAGAAUUCCGUGUGUAGCGGUGAAAUGCGUAGAUAUACGGAGGAACACCGGUGGCGAAGGCGGAUCUCUGGGCCAUUACUGACGCUGGAGGAAGCGAAAGCGUGGGGAGCGAACAGG
rnacentral:rRNA from 1 species